rnacentral:rRNA from 1 species
AAUCACAGCCAUACCACCUGCAGUUCAGACUAAGUAAUCCAUCGGAAGCUAAGCAAGUUUGGGCCUGACUGGUACUUGGAUGGGAGACCAACUAGGAAGAGGUGUUGGUGUAUC